CGCGUCACCGCCGAGCGCUGAGGGCCCGGGCGGCCGCCGCUCGGCCCCGGCCGUGGGAGCCCGAUCCCCGCGGAAAGCCCUGGCAGUGCGGCGGCCCCGCAGAGAUGAACUGUGGGGAGCCAGCUGGAGCCAACAGGAGAACAGCAAACAAACAAAAGGAGGUGGUUCUUCACACAGCAUGGAUCAAACCUGCAGUGCUAAGAGUUCACUUGAGUUCAAGGAUAGGCUUAGGAAGUCUACAGAACAAAUGUCCACAAAGCUUUAUUAAACACACAGAAACCAUCUGUGAUCCAAGAAACUCCUCAGCUGUAAUUGACUGAAUGCCAGAGGAUGUGUAGGACAAGUAUGGACACACAUGGCUUGUUCUCGUGUUCUUCUCUAAACACCUGCUUGUGGCUGCUACCAGAGACAAGAUACUGGGCUGAAAGUACUUUUUGAUCUGACUCAACACUGAAAUACAAGAUAUUAAGAAUGCUUGGACAAGACCAUUCUGAAGAGCAGUGUGGCACAGGGUGCUGGUUUCUCUGGCUGUGCAGAACAGAAUGUCAGAUGCAGCCUAAUUUCACUGCUGUGAUGAAGCAGAGCUUCUGUGGUCUGAAGUCCAAAUGCAUUCAUACACUGAAGCCCACCCACAUGUGGUCACUAGAGUGAGUAAGAUACUAAAUUGUUUAGUCACUGUUUUUAGCAGUAUUAGCUACACUAUAUUGUUCCCUCUGUUAAUAGAAAUAUUUGCUAAAUUGUCCAUAAAGUUUCUGUACUACUAAUGUAAAUUUGAUAAAUAACAGUCAGACACUUUUAGAGAAUAUUAAAGACAGCUUACAGGCUGAAGUUUUCAUAGUGAGCCAGCAGUCACAUAGAAUUGCUCAGAAACAUGCUCCUGAGUUAAUGUUAACUCAGACAUUUCUGGGAUAUUUAAUCUAAUAUCCUGCCUUCAGAGUCUCACUCAAGGAAAUCUCAGCAGUUUAACAUUUCUCUGGGAUUUUUCUGAAACAGAAAUUCCAGACUGUGGCUGCAAUUUGUAGAUUCAUUUGUUUUCUUGUUUAAAUGAAAGACACAGCCAGAGGCAGAGGCCAUCUGGCAAGCAAACUUCAACUCAAGGGGAGAAACAUGUUUCUGGGAAAUGUAAAGCCAGAUGCUUCAGAAGUACAACCACAUCCAUACACUGCUGGAUUAGAACUAUACUUAUACCAAUGGUUGUUCGGACAACUGCUUUUUUCCACCAAAAGUAAAAUUUUACAAAAAAUAUCCUACUGAGGUCUCACAGAAUGGACAGAACAUACCAAGGUCCUUUUAGGGAUCCUUGGUAGAAUGAGGACUAGCCACAAGAGUGUAGCUACAAUUAGAGCUUCAUUAUGACAUAAAAAUUCACUUAUCAGCAUACCUUAUUGUUAUCUACAAUUUCUAGCAGUUAGUGUAUCUUACUGCUACACAGGAUUUUUAGCCAUUAUCCCAGCUUUCAGUUAAGCUGAAUUUCUAGUAAUCAGUGUAGCUUUCUUUACUAUCUAGAGUCUUUGGUUAUGUAGGCUUUUAGUCAC